GACGAACGCUGGCGGCGUGCUUAACACAUGCCAGUCGAACGGAAAGGCCCUGCUUUUGUGGGGUGCUCGAGUGGCGAACGGGUGAGUAACACGUGAGUAACCUGCCCUUGACUUUGGGAUAACUUCAGGAAACUGGGGCUAAUACCGGAUAGGAGCUCCCGCUGCAUGGUGGGGGUUGGAAAGUUUCGGCGGUUGGGGAUGGACUCGCGGCUUAUCAGCUUGUUGGUGGGGUAGUGGCUUACCAAGGCUUUGACGGGUAGCCGGCCUGAGAGGGUGACCGGCCACAUGGGGACUGAGAUACGGCCCAGACUCCUACGGGAGGCAGCAGUGGGGAAUAUUGCACAAUGGGCGGAAGCCUGAUGCAGCAACGCCGCGUGCGGGAUGACGGCCUUCGGGUUGUAAACCGCUUUCGCCUGUGACGAAGCGUGAGUGACGGUAAUGGGUAAAGAAGCACCGGCUAACUACG
rnacentral:rRNA from 1 species